CUAGCGGCGGACGGGUUAGUAACGCGUGGGAACGUACCCUUUUCUACGGAAUAGCCUCGGGAAACUGAGAGUAAUACCGUAUACGCCCUUUGGGGGAAAGAUUUAUCGGAGAAGGAUCGGCCCGCGUUAGAUUAGAUAGUUGGUGGGGUAAUGGCCUACCAAGUCUACGAUCUAUAGCUGGUUUGAGAGGAUGAUCAGCAACACUGGGACUGAGACACGGCCCAGACUCCUACGGGAGGCAGCAGUGGGGAAUCUUAGACAAUGGGCGCAAGCCUGAUCUAGCCAUGCCGCGUGAGUGAUGAAGGCCUUAGGGUCGUAAAGCUCUUUCGCCUGUGAAGAUAAUGACUGUAGCAGGUAAAGAAACCCCGGCUAACUCCGUGCCAGCAGCCGCGGUAAUACGGAGGGGGUUAGCGUUGUUCGGAAUUACUGGGCGUAAAGCGCGCGUAGGCGGACAUUUAAGUCAGAGGUGAAAUCCCAGGGCUCAACCCUGGAACUGCCUUUGAUACUGGGUGUCUUGAGUUCGAGAGAGGUGAGUGGAAUUCCGAGUGUAGAGGUGAAAUUCGUAGAUAUUCGGAGGAACACCAGUGGCGAAGGCGGCUCACUGGCUCGAUACUGACGCUGAGGUGCGAAAGUGUGGGGAGCAACCAGGAUUAGAUACCCUGGUAGUCCACACCGUAAACGAUGAAUGCCAGUCGUCGGG
rnacentral:rRNA from 1 species